AGCGAACGCUGGCGGCAGGCCUAACACAUGCAAGUCGAACGAACCUUUCGGGGUUAGUGGCGGACGGGUGAGUAACACGUGGGAACGUGCCUUUAGGUUCGGAAUAACUCAGGGAAACUUGUGCUAAUACCGAAUGUGCCCUUCGGGGGAAAGAUUUAUCGCCUUUAGAGCGGCCCGCGUCUGAUUAGCUAGUUGGUUGAGGUAAUGGCUCACCAAGGCGACGAUCAGUAGCUGGUCUGAGAGGAGGAUCAGCCACAUUGGGACUGAGACACGGCCUAAACUGCUACGGGGGGGUGCAGAAUAGAGUCUUGUGCGAUGAACGAAGGUCUGGCACAGCCGCGCCGGGUGUAUGGUGAUGGUGUUAGGAUACUGAAAUUCUUUGAGCGGAGGCGAUAGUGACGGUACCCGGUGAAGAAGCCCCGGCUAACUACGUG
rnacentral:rRNA from 1 species